rnacentral:rRNA from 1 species
GGCCUUCGGGUUGUAAACCUCUUUCAGUAGGGAAGAAGCGAAAGUGACGGUACCUGCAGAAGAAGCGCCGGCUAACUACGUGCCAGCAGCCGCGGUAAUACGUAGGGCGCAAGCGUUAUCCGGAAUUAUUGGGCGUAAAGAGCUCGUAGGCGGUUUGUCGCGUCUGCCGUGAAAGUCCGGGGCUCAACUCCGGAUCUGCGGUGGGUACGGGCAGGCUAGAGUGAUGUAGGGGAGACUGGAAUUCCUGGUGUAGCGGUGAAAUGCGCAGAUAUCAGGAGGAACACCGAUGGCGAAGGCAGGUCUCUGGGCAUUAACUGACGCUGAGGAGCGAAAGCAUGGGGAGCGAACAGGAUUAGAUACCCUGGUAGUCCAUGCCGUAAACGUUGGGCACUAGGUGUGGGGGACAUUCCACGUUUUCCGCGCCGUAGCUAACGCAUUAAGUGCCCCGCCUGGGGAGUACGGCCGCAAGGCUAAAACUCAAAGGAAUUGACGGGGGCCCGCACAAGCGGCGGAGCAUGCGGAUUAAUUCGAUGCAACGCGAAGAACCUUACCAAGGCUUGACAUGGACCGGACCGCCGCAGAGAUGUGGUUUCUCCUUUUGGGGCCGGUUCACAGGUGGUGCAUGGUUGUCGUCAGCUCGUGUCGUGAGAUGUUGGGUUAAGUCCCGCAACGAGCGCAACCCUCGUUCCAUGUUGCCAGCGC